rnacentral:misc_RNA from 1 species
GUUCUAACGGAAUCAUCUGCUCCUCAAUCGUCAUCCCCGUUAAUAACUGACGUCUUCCGUUACGAAAACAUAAACACCGUCGAGCUCCUGCCAACUCUCCUUGUUGACAAUAUUAUUUUAUUAACAUUAUAUUUUUUUUCCCAUUCAAUUUUCCCUGAUUUUCUCACUAACCAAACGACUGCUUGGAAACUGGAAAUGGCAACUGCUGCUGAGGCAGAAGAAGAUAACACAUGGGAGGAAGCAUUGAGAAAGAUGUUACCUGCAGGUGCACCAUUACCAGAUGAAGACCACCUCGAUUACUCCAUCGCCGUCGAAUAUGAAGGCCCUCCGGUUUCUUACCAAGUCCCUCGUGUUGAUCCACUGAAUCUCGAUUCCCUUUCCAUUCGCUCUUCUUCUCUAGCUUCUGUCGCUGACGACAAGGAUCUUUCUAAUUCUGUUCCCGUUGCUGCUCCGAUCACUGGUGCUAAGAUUGCCAAAUUCAGUCGUUUUAGGAAUGGAGCUGCAAAUGUUUUGAUUAAAGAAUCAACUAGUUCGAGACCGCAGAUUGAAAGAGAUGUAAAUGGAGAAAACGAGGAACAAGGAGAAUUGGAGCGAGUUGGUAAUGGAAGAGAGGGAGAGGAAGACGAAGCGUUGUUUGUUAGAAAUGAGGGAAAGCGUGUGAAUGUAGUGAAAUUUAAUACUCCUAGAGAUUCGGAAACGGAGGAUGAUGGAUAUUCAUCGGCGCAAUCCAGUGCUGCUGCUGAUGCUUUGGGUCCAACUUCGGUGGUUCGAAAAGAGUCUAGGAAGAGAGGAGUUUGCAGUAGAUGUGGGAAAAGGAAUAGGUUGAAGGAGAGAGAGGCAUGCUUGGUGUGUGAUGCGAGGUACUGUAGCAAUUGCUUGCUUAAGGCCAUGGGAUCGAUGCCUGAAGGGAGGAAGUGUGUUAGUUGCAUUGGGCAUCCCAUAGAUGAAGUAAAAAGGUCUAGUUUGGGUAAGUGUUCAAGGAUUUUGUCCAAAGUGUGCAGUCCAUUGGAGGUUAUGCAGAUUAUGAAGGCGGAGAAGGAGUGCGGAGCCAAUCAGUUGAGACCUGAGCAGUUAAUUGUGAAUGGGAGGCCACUCAGGCAAGAGGAGUUGGCUGAGGCUUUAGGGUGUCCUAUCCCACCACUGAAUUUGAAACCUGGAAAGUAUUGGUAUGAUAAGGAUUCAGGGCUAUGGGGAAAGGAGGGAGAGAAACCUGAUAGGAUAAUUAGUUCCAAGCUUAAUGUUGGUGGUAAGCUUCCGCUUGAUGCUAGCAAUGGAAACACAAAGGUUUACAUAAAUGGCCGUGAAAUUACCAAGAUUGAACUCAGAGUGUUGAAGCUGGCCAAGGUACAAUGCCCUCGGGAUACACAUUUUUGGGUGUAUGAUGAUGGAUCUUAUGAAGAAGAAGGCCAAAAUAAGAUAAAAGGAAAAAUAUGGGGAAAGGCAUCGACUCGUUUCCUUUGCUCGUUGUUUUCGCUGCCCGUGCCACCUGGGAAUCUUUUUGUGCCAAAAGAAGAUCCAAGAUCCUUUUCAGGUAGGUUGGUGCCCGAGUAUUUGGAACAGGGAAGGGUCCAGAAACUUCUGUUGUUGGGGUUGGAAGGAUCUGGAACCAGUACCAUCUUCAAGCAGGCAAAGUUUUUAUAUGGGAACAAGUUCACCCCAGAAGAGUUGCAGAACAUCAAGCUUAUGAUUCAAAGUAACAUGUAUAAAUAUCUUAGCAUAUUACUUGAAGGACGGGAGAGGUUUGAAGAGGAAGCUUUGAUGGAAAAGAUAACUACUGCACUGAAUGCUGAAGAAUCUGCUUCAGGUGAAACAGAAGUUGAAGCAAAUCAACACUGUAUCUACUCAAUCAACCAAAGGUCCAAGCAUUUUUCUGACUGGUUACUGGAUAUUAUGGCUACGGGAGACUUGGAUGCCUUUUUUCCUGCUGCAACAAGAGAGUAUGCUCCUAUUGUUGAUGAGGUCUGGAAAGAUCCUGCCAUUCAGGAGACAUACAAGAGAAGGGAGGAAUUGCAUCUUCCUGAUGUUGCCAAAUAUUUUCUAGAUCAGGUACGCCUUGUACGGUUUUAUUUUUAGCAUGUCCUACCACUAAGUGCUUAUAAUUCCAUCAAUAUGGUUCUUCUCAUUUUUCAUUAAUUAAUUAUCUGCUUAGCUUGACAUACAGAUUUCAUUUUCUGGGCUAUUUUGUCAUAUUCCUGGAAUUUUGAAAUGUAGAUAUACUAAUUAUGGUUAGAUGAUGGGACAUUUGCUAUAUCGUUUAAGGCUCACAAUCAUAGCUCUUUAAAUCAUUUCUGAUGAGAUCUAUUUUUCCCCAUCCUGUAUGUGAUAUCCCUAAAUGUGAACCUCAAGUGAGCAACAGAGCAUUUAUUUUCAUCAAAUGAUUUCUUUUAACCUUUUCUUCAUUUAUGCCAUCAAUGAUACUUAUAGAGAUGCUUUGUAAAGAAAUUAGUACAGUUAAAGUCCCUCUGUUCGUAUAGAUAUGUAUAACUGAACAUCUAUACUAGAAACUUUAAGCAUAUGCCUAUUGUCCAUUCCCAUUGCUUUAGGACUUUAAUGCUGUGAUUUACACUAACUCUUAGUGCAGUACUUUAAAGUGGUGAGGCAUCACAACACCCAGCAUGAGAAAGCUACUGGACCUGCAGAUCUGUAACAAGAUUAAAGAAAUCUGCAGGAAUAGCAUAUCAUUGGAGUAGGCCUCCAGAAUUUAAUGUCUGGUUAUUUGUGGUAGUUUCAUGAGCUUGAAUUCAGCUUGGAGAUUGUAUCGCGAGCUAACAAGUCAAUCUAGCACAAGCCAUGUAAUGUAGAAUGGGAAGAUGAAGAAACUAAUACAACUUAGGAAUUAUAUUCUAUGUAAAA